rnacentral:rRNA from 1 species
UGCAAGUCGAGCGGAUGACAGGAGGAGCUUGCUCCUCUAGAUUCAGCGGCGGACGGGUGAGUAACACGUGGGCAACCUGCCCUGUAGAUUGGGAUAACUCCGGGAAACCGGGGCUAAUACCGAAUAAUCCUUCGGACCUCAUGGUCCGAUGUUGAAAGACGGCUUCGGCUGUCACUACAGGAUGGGCCCGCGGCGCAUUAGCUAGUUGGUGAGGUAACGGCUCACCAAGGCGACGAUGCGUAGCCGACCUGAGAGGGUGAUCGGCCACACUGGGACUGAGACACGGCCCAGACUCCUACGGGAGGCAGCAGUAGGGAAUCUUCCACAAUGGACGAAAGUCUGAUGGAGCAACGCCGCGUGAGUGAAGAAGGUUCUCGGAUCGUAAAACUCUGUUGUGAGGGAAGAACAAGUACCGGAGUAACUGCCGGUACCUUGACGGUACCUCAUUAGAAAGCCACGGCUAACUACGUGCCAGCAGCCGCGGUAAUACGUAGGUGGCAAGCGUUGUCCGGAAUCAUUGGGCGUAAAGCGCGCGCAGGCGGUCCCUUAAGUCUGAUGUGAAAGCCCACGGCUCAACCGUGGAGGGUCAUUGGAAACUGGGGGACUUGAGUGCAGAAGAGGAAAGCGGAAUUCCAAGUGUAGCGGUGAAAUGCGUAGAGAUUUGGAGGAACACCAGUGGCGAAGGCGGCUUUCUGGUCUG